GGUAACUGACGUGCCAUCCGUCGAAUCCCCGCAGCGGUCCCGCCCUUUUUCUGUUAAAGGCGGCCAAUGGGAGCUCGGCAAGAGGCGGCGUACCGGAAGUGAAGGCUGUCCCGCGCAGGUGGCGCUACAGCCCUCCUCACUGGUACAUCACCAUGGAAACCGACGGGGACCUUCAAGGAUGUUGGGAGAAAACACUUUCGAGCUCGAAGCAUCCAGUGACGUAAUGUUACCGGUGUGAGAACGAGGACCCUGAUGCUGCCUUCACGUACUGCUCGUCAAUUUGACCUAACCUCUCCAACUGGUCCGUGAAGGCAGCAGCUGGCCGCUCGGCUCAGCAGCCGGAGGAGAGGAGAGAGAGAGAGAGAGACAG